rnacentral:rRNA from 1 species
CGUGUAGGCGGGACUGUAAGUCAGGCGUGAAAAUUAUGGGCUCAACCCAUAACCUGCGUUUGAAACUAUAGUUCUUGAGUGUCGGAGGGGUAAUCGGAAUUCCGUGUGUAGCGGUGAAAUGCGUAGAUAUACGGAGGAACACCAGUGGCGAAGGCGGAUUACUGGACGAUAACUGACGCUGAGGCGCGAAAGCGUGGGGAGGCAAAACA